rnacentral:rRNA from 1 species
UACGUAGGCAGCGAGCGUUGUUCGGAGUUACUGGGCGUAAAGAGUGCGUAGGCGGUGCUCCAAGUCUGGUGUGAAAUCUCCCGGCUUAACCGGGAGGGUGCGCCGGAAACUGGGGUGCUGGAGUGUGGGAGAGGUAAGCGGAAUUCCCGGUGUAGCGGUGAAAUGCGUAGAGAUCGGGAGGAACACCAGAGGCGAAGGCGGCGACCUGGACAGUCACUGACACUCAACUGCGAAAGCGUGGGGAGCAAACAGG